rnacentral:misc_RNA from 1 species
UGCAGGAGCAAGCCUGCUCGCGAAGGCGACUUUCAGUUAUCGAUGACGACAGACAGACCGCUAUCGCGAGCAGGCUCGCUCCCACA